ensembl:misc_RNA 7SK 7SK RNA
UGAUGUGAGGGCAAUCUGCUGUGACAUUUGUCAUCCUAUUGAACACCAGAGUUAAUUUGGCUGCUUUGGCUGGCUAGGCGGGUGUCCCCUUCCUCCUCACCACUCCACGUGUGUCCCUCCUGAAGCUGUGAGCUCAGUCGAAGAGGAAGACCUUCCCCAAGCUGAGCGUGUAUUUGAAGUCACUUUUCUGUUGCCUUUCCAAGGGUCCGAGGGUCCAUCUU